UUUCCAAAUCUGCUUACAUGCGCUUCCCCUAUCGAAGUGUUCGGCUACUUCCAUUAUGCACUAUGCGCUAAAUAUACCACAGGUUAAUAUAGUCUACCAGUCUAACUGUCUAUUCUGCCUUCUAUCCACCAUUCAUAGUGAAAAUAGUGGUAGGUGGUCGUUUGUCCAGAUCGGCAAUGGGCUAACUAGCAAUCAUACCACAACUAAAAUCAUUAAAAGCUGCAAUUAAAAAUCCACGAGAACAACGAGAAAUAGCUGAUAAGCAGCGAAGUGGCCAGGUACGUCAUUGCGCAUGAAAGAACAUUGAAGACGUGAGACACGCAACUCAAAAAGCUCCCCCAUUGAUCUUGUUUAGGGACAAUUAAAUUAUCUCGACUAGCCUACAACAACUGAUCAUUGUCUGCAGCUGGCUUUGAUCGUAGUGUAAUGACACAGGCAGAGAGCGUGAGUGGUCGAAGAACCACCAACCUUCUGGCCCGUAACCCUGUGUGACAUCAAACUGUGCCACGACAAAAACAUGCUGUAGUGGCAACGUCGAUAUCCACAUUUAUAAGCACAAGUGCCGGGGUCAGCGGAGCUCCCAAGUGACCAGCGACAGGGCCAACAGCCAACUGACUGCCUACUCUACUCUGACCUCCCUUCAUUAGUAACCCCUGUGCUUCUCCUCAGACCUGGGGCUGCUGGGGGGACCUAUUUGUGGUCCUCCACUCGUCUGAGGGGAAGGGGAUAGAGGGAUAGAGACUGAAGGAACAACAGCUGCUGAUGGGGACAUCACGCUUCCCAUGGAAGAGCAGCAUCCUCCUGAGAGAAGGUGCUGUAAUCUGCAGUAAUCGAAUUCUCAGACAUACAUGAUAGCCACAGUAUGUCUCGAAGCCACAUUGUAUGUGAGUGAACACAUGACGUUGAACAUAUUGACACAUGACGUUGUGUGAUCUAUAUUGUAUUUACAAAAACAAUCAACAGUGCAAGUCACAUGAUGAUCUUACACGGAAAGCUCUUGAAAACUUUCACAGACACACAAAAACAUAGAGAUAUUAAAGCCGUUAUACAAGCAGUGUUAAAUGGACAAAGUGUACUUAAAUGUAUUUUGUGUUCAGAGAAUCUGCUGGGGUGCCAGAGGAAUGCAAAGAAUUGUAGGCACUUUUUUCUGACACGGUAUAGUGAUGCCAUCAUGAGUUGCAAUGGGAAACAUUUACACACAGCAAAGAGCCCAGUUCACUAGUAGCAAUACAAGGUGGCAUCAUCUGUCUGAUGAAGAGUCUUGUGUCUGUUUAAUAAUUGAUUUAAGAAGGUGUUAUUUACUUAAUUGACUUGAUUUUGAGUGAAUCUGGAUUCUGUUUAUUCCACAUUUUUAACUUGGUUUAAAAUAAUCAUACAUGUAUGAAAAAAGUCAACCAUCCUAAAUUGGUUUAGACAUGAUUCUUCUGCCCCCUGGCUGUGUAUAUAGAGAAAUAUAAUGUCUCCUAUUGCCAUGGAAGUGUUGGUCUUAACCAAUAUAUCCGUUAAACAAUGUAAACUACGGUUUGGUGUCAUUAUUGCUUAAGCAAUCUCUAUUUGGCACAACAUUUAAAAACGAUGUAACUGAGAAUCAAAAUGGCAUGCCCAUACUUCAAUAUUUCACUAUAACGCCUUGUGAUCUUUGAGGACAGCCUUUUGCAUUCCCUCGAAUAGUCCAAAUGUGGAAUCUGUAUCCUUGCCGUUAUCAAGGACAGUAAUGGUUUGAGAACACUCCAAAAUUUGAAAGGCACAUUACAGGCAACUCCUUUUUUUUCUAUAUGUACAAGUUAGGUCAACUAUGCUGGUCUAUGGAGUCCCUUGGGAGACCCAACUACUGAACCUGGACUCCCAAAGGGGCUGAUCUCUAUUCUGAGCUAGCCAUUAAAAUAAUUAGGGUCCACAGAUCUAAGUGAAUAUGAACAACCCUUUAACUCGAACAGAAUAUGAAAAAUAUGACUUUGGCAUCCCGUAAUCCGAACCAUCACCAUAUACAUGGAAGUUUGUUAACAGAUUGUAUUUAACACCAACGAAACGUUUUAAGAUGACAUUUUCCCCGACUGUUCACUGUGUCCCCUAAAUCAGGUAGGCACAUUCCUUCAUAGGAUGUGUGAUUGCCCUGCAGUUAAAUGCUUCUGGGUCAAAGUUACUCCAUUUCAAAGUGCAUGAAUGUAAAUAUUCAAUGCUUUGCAUCUACUAUGUUACUUAAUGACUCAAUAAAUCAGAGACAAUUACUGCUGGCAGGCACCACUGCCGGAAAAAAAGAUGUUGGCUCUUAUAUGGCAUUCACCUCACUCUCUCCCAAUUCGCCAGUGGAUACAGUUACUAUUAUUACUAUUAAGUUAUAACAUUAGAAUUAUCAACAGUGAGAAUGAAUCUUUGUGCGUGACAAAGAACAAUUGAGGCCUUGAAAAAUAUACGUGACUCUGUAAAGAAUAUUCUCAGCUAAAGCCAAACAUACAAAUAAACAAUAUAUAAUUAAUAAGGAGUUGGUCCCACCUUUGCUCCUAUAACAACCUCCACUGUUCUGGGAAGGCUUUCCACUAGAUGUUGGAACAUUGCUGCGGGGACUUGCUUCCAAUCAGCCACAAGAGCAUUAGUGUGGUUGGGCACUGGUGUUGGGUUAUUGGGCCUGUCUCGCAGUCGGCGUUCCAUUUCAUCCCAAAGGUGUUUGAUGGGGUUGAGGUCAAGGCUCUGUGCAGGCCAGUCAAGUUCUUCUUGACAAACCAUUUCUGUAUGGACCUCACUUUGUGCACAGGGGCAUUGUCAUGCUGAAACUGGAAAGGGCUUCCCCAAAUUUUGCCAUAAAGUUGGACACAGAAUCGUCUAGAAUGUCAUUGUAUGAUGUAGCUUUAAGAUUUCCCUUCACUGGAACUAUAAUGGGCCUGGCCCGAUCCAUGAAAA